rnacentral:rRNA from 1 species
UACGGGGGGAGCAAGCGUUGUUCGGAUUUACUGGGCGUAAAGGGCGCGUAGGCGGUGCUCUAAGUUAGAUGUGAAAACUCUGGGCUCAACCCAGAGCCUGCAUCUAAAACUGGAGUGCUAGAGUUCUGGAGGGGGUAGCGGAAUUCCUGGUGUAGCGGUGAAAUGCGUAGAUAUCAGGAGGAACACCGGUGGCGAAGGCGGCUACCUGGACAGAAACUGACGCUGAGGCGCGAAAGCUAGGGGAGCAAACAGG